rnacentral:sRNA from 1 species
UUCUAGCCCUGAUGGAAACGGCAUCCUUUUUUGUGAUGCUUGAGCGCAGUCGAAGGCAUCACAAAAAAGAUAUAGUGGACAGCAGGUUCCCGG